rnacentral:rRNA from 1 species
UGCUCCCUACGGGGGGCAGCAGUGAGGAAUAUUGGUCAAUGGGCUUACGCCUGAACCAGCCAAGUCGCGUGAGGGAAGACUGCCCUAUGGGUUGUAAACCUCUUUUGUCAGGGAGCAACGCCGGCUACGUGUAGCCGGACUGAGAGUACCUGAAGAAAAAGCAUCGGCUAACUCCGUGCCAGCAGCCGCGGUAAUACGGAGGAUGCGAGCGUUAUCCGGAUUUACUGGGUGUAAAGGGAGCGUAGACGGCGAUGCAAGUCUGAAGUGAAAGGCGGGGGCCCAACCCCCGGACUGCUUUGGAAACU